UGGGGGAUAUUGCACAAUGGGCGAAAGCCUGAUGCAGCGACGCCGCGUGGGGGAUGAAGGCCUUCGGGUUGUAAACUUCUUUUGCUCUGAACAAGGCAUGCCUUUGGGGUGUGUUGAGUGUAGGGGUUGAUUAGCGCCGGCUAACUACGUGCCAGCAGCCGCGGUAAUACGGAGGGUGCAAGCGUUAAUCGGAAUUACUGGGCGUAAAGCGCACGCAGGCGGUUUGUUAAGUCAGAUGUGAAAUCCCCGGGCUCAACCUGGGAACUGCAUCUGAUACUGGCAAGCUUGAGUCUCGUAGAGGGGGGGAGAAUUCCAAGUGUAGCGGUGAAAUGCGUAGAGAUCUGGAGGAAUACCGGUGGCGAAGGCGGCCCCCUGGACGAGGACUGACGCUCAGGUGCGAAAACGUGGGGAGCAAACAGG
rnacentral:rRNA from 1 species